AACGAACGCUGGCGGCAUGCCUAACACAUGCAAGUCGAACGAGAUCUUCGGGUCUAGUGGCGCACGGGUGCGUAACGCGUGGGAAUCUGCCCUUUGGUUCGGAAUAACAGUUGGAAACGACUGCUAAUACCGGAUGAUGACGAAAGUCCAAAGAUUUAUCGCCAGAGGAUGAGCCCGCGUAGGAUUAGCUAGUCGGUGUGGUAAAGGCGCGCCAAGGCGACGAUCCUUAGCUGGUCUGAGAGGAUGAUCAGCCACACUGGGACUGAGACACGGCCCAGACUCCUACGGGAGGCAGCAGUGGGGAAUAUGGGACAAUGGGCGAAAGCCUGAUCCAGCAAUGCCGCGUGAGCGAUGAAGGCCUUAGGGUUGUAAAGCUCUUUUACCCGGGAUGAUAAUGACAGUACCGGGAGAAUAAGCUCCGGCUAACUCCGUGCCAGCCGCCGCCGUAA
rnacentral:rRNA from 1 species